rnacentral:rRNA from 1 species
GACAGAGGAUGCAAGCGUUAUCCGGAAUGAUUGGGCGUAAAGCGUCUGUAGGUGGCUUUUUAAGUCUGCCGUCAAAUCCCAGGGCUUAACCCUGGACAGGCGGUGGAAACUACCAAGCUGGAGUACGGUAGGGGCAGAGGGAAUUUCCGGUGGAGCGGUGAAAUGCGUAGAUAUCAGGAAGAACACCAAUGGCGAAAGCAGCUCUCUGGGGACGGUACUGACGCUGAGACGCGAAAGCGUGGGGGAGCGAACAGG